GAGGAUAUAGUUCAGUGGUAGAGUGCAUGCUUAGCAUGCAUGAAGUCCUAGGUUUAAUCCCCAGUACCUCCA
rnacentral:tRNA from 1 species